rnacentral:misc_RNA from 1 species
GAUGAAGAACGCAGCGAAAUGCGAUAAGUAAUGUGAAUUGCAGAAUUCAGUGAAUCAUCGAAUCUUUGAACGCACAUUGCGCCCCCUGGUAUUCCGGGGGGCAUGCCUGUUCGAGCGUCAUUUCACCACUCAAGCCUCGCUUGGUAUUGGGCAUCGCGGUCCGCCGCGCGCCUCAAAUCGACCGGAUGGGUCUUCUGUCCCCUAAGCGUUGUGGAAACUAUUCGCUAAAGGGUGUUCGGGAGGCUACGCCGUAAAACAACCCCAUUUCUAAGGUUGACCUCGGAUCAGGUAGGGAUACCCGCUGAACUUAAGCAUAUCAAUAAGCGGAGGA